AACAGAACCUGAAACCGUGUACGUACAAGCAGUGGGAGCCCCACCACUAAGCCAGUGGUGAACUCCACAUACGCAUCCUUUGCGGAAGAUGCGGUUAACGGAGCGAAAGCGACGUUCAACCUCAGAAGAAGCAGAGGGGGCUUAGUGGUGGGGUGACUGCGUACCUUUUGUAUAAUGGGUCAGCGACUUAUAUUCUGUAGCAAGGUUAACCGCAUAGGGGAGCCGAAGGGAAACCGAGUCUUAAUUGGGCGUUAAGUUGCAGGGUAUAGACCCGAAACCCGGUGAUCUAGCCAUGGGCAGGUUGAAGGUUGGGUAACACUAACUGGAGGACCGAACCGACUAAUGUUGAAAAAUUAGCGGAUGACCUGUGGCUGGGGGUGAAAGGCCAAUCAAACCGGGAGAUAGCUGGUUCUCCCCGAAAGCUAUUUAGGUAGCGCCUCGUGAACUCAUCUCCGGGGGUAGAGCACUGUUUCGGCUAGGGGGCCAUCCCGGCUUACCAACCCGAUGCAAACUGCGAAUACCGGAGAAUGUUAUCACGGGAGACACACGGCGGGUGCUAACGUCCGUCGUGAAGAGGGAAACAACCCAGACCGCCAGCUAAGGUCCCAAAGUCAUGGUUAAGUGGGAAACGAUGUGGGAAGGCCCAGACAGCCAGGAUGUUGGCUUAGAAGCAGCCAUCAUUUAAAGAAAGCGUAAUAGCUCACUGGUCGAGUCGGCCUGCGCGGAAGAUGUAACGGGGCUAAACCAU
rnacentral:rRNA from 1 species